ACAAUUAUACAGCCAAGUCUCCUGGGAGGGUUUAUAUGUUAAGCUCUGUCAGUAAUUUCUCCCCUAGCAAGAAUGAGGGAGAUGAAGAGCUUGGGUAUCUGGGGGCUGGUGUGUCUCAUGCGUGCGUGUUUUGGGGGCCGACUGAAGGCAGAGAAGGCUGGAGAGAGGGAACAUGGGUCUGAGGGCACAUCGCUAAGGGGUCAAGAGGCCUAAAGGGGGAGUCUAAGGCUCUCCAUCGAACUUGGACUUGGUCUACAUUAGACUUUAACCCCCAUGAGGCUUGGACUUUCAGGCUUCCGCCCUCACACCGCGGGCAGGUGAGGCGUCUGCUACAGGCCUGGUCUCGCAGAGGGGGCCCAGCGCCCCCCGCCGCCGCCUUCUCCUGGAGUCUGUGUGACAGAAUGGGACCUGUGGGAAAGCAGCACGUCAGCACGCAGCCCCGCUUGCGCGCCAGCAGCUAAUUAAAGCCAGGAAGGUGAUGGCGAUUGUCAACUCAUUCCCGUUACAAACAGCCGACCUUCCUACCGAGUUCAAGUACCUUCUGCCUGGCCUGGAAGAACCAUAUCUCUCUGUCUCCCUCUUCCAUUGGCCCUCACCUGCCCUCCCCUGAACACGCAUUUUGCCUGACAGGAGGCAGAGGCGGUUGAGAUGGAGUCUUGCUAUACGGCCCAGCUGGUAACGCCUGGUAAUGCCUAGAUUCUUGAGUCCCUCCCUGGCUCAUCCCUGGGAGCAGCACCGAACCCCAAGUCUGACACCUGUCCGGAAAUUGAGCCUGAACAUUGAACCUAGCCAUGUGUGGUCUUGUUACUAAGUGUUAGCCAGUGAGAUAACAUACAGGAGGAGGCCCAUGUUGAUUCAGAGGAUGAAUGAGAGGUGCUUGCAGCUUGGUCCAUGAGGCCAGCAGGACCAGACAGAAGACCACAGCGACACAUGGGGAUGGCUGUCCCACAGGCAGAAAUGAGCAGCCCGGGGGAAGCCUGGGCAGCCAGCCACCCAGUUCCCUCCACAUCGUGGCCCUAGAAUGGAGUCUUGAAGAAUAAGAAGCCACAGCUUGUCAGGGAAUCAGGCUGGAAAAAUGUUAUGAGACUGAGUAAGACCAGUGAUUCCUUGGUGGUGCCUGGAGAAGACCAGGAGAGGAAGCAGAAGACCCUCCUCAAAGAAGCCGCCUUCACCUCCAGACCUCCCAGCGGGACUUAGACAAUGGGAUUAGGCAGUCACAUGUCUGCAAGUGGAAACUUUCUGGGACUGUGCUUGGAGCCCGGCUCUGCCUUUUACUAGCCAUGUGACCUUGGGAAAAUCACUCGACCUCUCCAUGUAAGAUUCCUUAUCUGUAAAAACGGUCUAAGAUUAGGAGCCACCUCAGGGUUGUUGUAGGAAUUAAAUUAAUUCAUGUUUAUAAAGUGCUUUGAACAUCGCCUGGCACAUGGUAAGCGCUAUGUGGUAAGUGCUAUCUAUUGAUUACGUAAAUAAAAGUGAUCACCAUUAGACUUUCCAUGCAGAUGAUGUUAUGCAUACACAUAUCUCCCGCAUAUGAUGUCAUUGGAUCGUUUUGCAAUGGUGGGGAGUUUAUUCUUUUUCUUUUUGUUUUCUUCUUUUUUUUUUUUCAGAUGAAGAAACUGAUGGGAAGUGAAUCGGUUUGUAUUAAACAUUAGGUUUGCUA